rnacentral:lncRNA from 10 species
AGAAAAUAUUUUUUUCUUACCUGAAAUAUAUAUAAGUAGUUAAUUAAUGGAAGAGCCCUAACAAUUAGCUGAAUUCACAAUAUUAGGGAAUGAUUAAAUUGUUGGUGAUGUACCUUUCAAUCAUCUCUGCAUAAGCAGUUGAUAGCCACUUCUGUAUCUUUGUAGUAAAUGCAGAGUGAAUGGUGGAUUUUAUGAAUGGGGAAGCUGCUGGAUUUUGUGUAACAUUGCUUUUUUUUUUUUUUUUUUGAGAUGGAGUCUUACUCUGUUGCCCAGCCUGGAGUGCAGUGGCGUGAUCUCGGCUCACUGCAGCCUCCGCCUCCUGGGUUCAAGCGAUUCUCCUGCCUCAGCCUCCCAAGUAGCUGGGAUUACAGAUUUUUGGAAGUACCAGCACAGUGACGCUUCCUGAAACCUUGUUGUUUGUGUCAACGCUGGAUGGAAGUUUGCAUGCUGUCAGCAAGAGGACAGGCUCAAUCAAAUGGACUUUAAAAGAAGGUAAUUUGGAUUUGGUCCUUGGGCGACAUGGACAUUUGCUUAACUGGUUCCACAGAAACAUAUUCUGGAGAAAGAGAAAACAUUACUCAUUAUCUAAUAAAAUAAAUAAGAAAUAAAGAAGAAUGGGAUCAAGAGAGGAAAAGGCAUUCUGCUCAAAGGACGUUUAUAGCUUUGCUGUGGUUAUCCACUAAGUGCAUCAGUUAAAGAAGCACGUUUUAUCUUCUUUUUUGCUUCUGUUUAGACUUCAUGUUAAAAUGGCUCUAGGCUUUUCUAUUAAUAGCUCUAGCUAGUUGGUCUUUAUGAAGACAUGCUGCACUAAAUUUGUUCUCAUGAUUAGAAUCUUGUAAUCAUAAUUACAAGAAGGUAUCUUCUCAACACCUCAAAUUACUCAUUUGUUUUUAUAGAGGCUGAAAUAAUAGAGGGCUGUAAGAUUUGACAUUCAUCCAAGUUAACCACUUUAUUGGGUUGUUAUGGUGAGGGGAAUAAAGACUGAGCUUCUUUCUUACUUAACAUACCAUGCGUCCAUGUUAUGAUCUGAUCUUCCUGGUGGUAACUAGCAGAGUCAAGCCCUACAGCUGGGAAAUUGUAUUUGAUUUCCAAAGUAAUCUUUCCAGAUAAAGCCAUGCAAAUCCCAGGAUUUGGGACUUUCAGAGUCAUCUAUAUUAUUUAAUCUGUCUAGUAAUAAAUCUCAUUUGGCCCGAGGUUCGGGUCUGAACAGCAUCGUUCUCUUUCGUCACUACUCUGUGACUCAUUACUUUCACGAGCACAGCCAAUGUUUUUCCUUCCUUAAUAAAGUGUUCCAAAACAGUAUGCUAGAUGGAAAAAUAUUGGCAUAUGUCAGAAGGUCACACAUUGUCUUGUGAAUUCAGCAGCAAACCUCGUUACCAUCCAUAGAUGAUGGCAGCUGGGUUACCACAAGCCAUCCUGCCCCACCUGCAUGGGCCCUGCUUGGAUCAGCAGGAACUUU